rnacentral:rRNA from 1 species
GACGGAGGGUGCUAGCGUUGUCCGGAUUUACUGGGCGUAAAGAGCGCGCAGGCGGUCGUUCAAGUCGCGUGUGAAAGCCCCCGGCUCAACUGGGGAGGGUCACGCGAUACUGAUCGACUCGAAGGCAGGAGAGGGAAGUGGAAUUCCCGGUGUAGUGGUGAAAUGCGUAGAUAUCGGGAGGAACACCAGUGGCGAAGGCGACUUCCUGGCCUGUUCUUGACGCUGAGGCGCGAAAGCUAGGGGAGCAAACGGG